GGAAACCAUGGUUAUACAAAAGAAAUCAGCAAGGAUCGUUCUAAAAGAUCAUUAGACAUCAAAUGCUGUCACAAAUAGCAACACCUUCCAUUGUAAACACCAAGAAAUCAGUACUAUUUAUACAUAGCAAUUAGCUAUUGUACAUCAGACCAAUAUUGUUAAAUAAUGGCAUGAGAAGAGUUGGAUCAUUUCUUAGGGUGGAUACUUUGUACAACUGCCUCAAUUUCUUCCUUGACUCGUUCAAAUACAUUUGGUCCCUUUACUUCAUCAACUGGGGUGUUUGCAUCAAUGUCACUAGCUCCAUGAGUUUCCUUGUGAUGGUGAGGUUUUUUAUCGUGGUGAAUCAUAGCCUCAAUCUCUUCCUUUGCACGUUCAAUCAAAUUUGGUGCUUUUACAUCUUUCACAUCUGCAGUAGAUGAAGGGGUUUCAUUGCCUCUGAAUUCUGCCAUGGCAGGUUAUGAACAGGCUGCAGAUACUGGUUUUUGCAGGAGAGGAGAGGAGAGAAG
rnacentral:misc_RNA from 1 species